CAAUAGCGUAUAUUAAAGUUGUUGCAGUUAAAAAGCUCGUAGUUGGAUUUGUGGCGUACGGUGUGUUCCGGGCACUUGUUGUCUGAGUAACCUGCUGUUGCCAUCCUUGGGUGGAACCUGUGUGGCAUUAGGUUGUCGUGCAGGGGAUGCCCAUCAUUUACUGUGAAAAAAUUAGAGUGUUCAAAGCAGGCUUAUGCCGUUGAAUAUAUUAGCAUGGAAUAAUGAGAUAGGACUUUUUUGCUAUUUUGUUGGUUUGCGCAAGAAGGUAAUGAUUAAUAGGGACAGUUGGGGGUAUUCGUAUUCCAUUGUCAGAGGUGAAAUUCUUGGAUUUUUGGAAGACGAACUACUGCGAAAGCAUUUACCAAGGAUGUCUUCAUUAA
rnacentral:rRNA from 1 species